GAACCCAUGGGCUUUUCAGCUAAUACAAAAUGUCACUCUUAUUUUUCAAGCUCUAAUUUUUUGUUUGUGGGCACAUCUAUAGAUGGCGCUGUAAUGAGAAUUAUAAUAAUGAUAAUUGAGUCCAAAUAAUAUCUGGCAACAUUAUUUUAGUAUUAUUUAUUUUUAAUACUGGUAAUUAUUAAAACUCCGGCAAUGGUACGUUUCUUUACAGUCAAAAUAUUACGUCAAAUUCAACUGCUAUAAUAGUUAUUAAAUAUUUUAGUAUCUAGUCAUUCGCGAAAAUUUAAUAAAAUAAAACAUUACAUAUAUAUUUAUAUUACUAAUACUGACAUCAAUAUGUUUAAAAAAUAUAGAAUUUGCAUACUACAAAAUAUUUCAGUGUGUAUAUGUCAUUCACGCAAUGUGUGCAUAAUACGGAACGUUAUUUGUUAUUACGGCCGCCAUAAUACAAAUAACUGUUUCGGAUUUUUGUGAUUUUAUCGACAACUCUAGCUUUUUGUGGACUCUGAUUUGCCUCCUCACCUUCUGACCUUUGCGAGUACUAUAAUUGACCUUGAUUUGCCUUUUGAUUUGGAUUUUGUACUAUGGCGUCGAAACAUAAGUGUUUUAUUCCUGGUUGUGACCAGAAUGAAAAACGUGAAACCACCAGUACCUUACAUAGGUUCCCCAAUCCUGAUAAGGAUGCUGGAAGAUUCAGAAAAUGGACCAAUGCUAUUGGUGGAAUGUUAUGUGUGGAGUAUUAUAAAAAAAGAAAUAAAUGUCGAAAACCUUA